UGUUCUCUCUUGUUUUUUUUUUAUUUGUUUCCUUGCAGUGCAAAAAGCUUAAGCUAGCAAAGUACAGUAAGUAAGCAGUUUAUUCUUUGUUAUAAAAUGACCUGUAUUGUUGUUUGCAACAUGCUUUCUAUAUUUGACACACCAUCUGUAGGUAAAAGAAACAGAUAGUUGGAAUUGAAAGGACAGAAGCAACAAAAUUAUGGCUUGUACAACCGCAUUUUUGCCUAUUCAUUUGCUAUAUACAUAGUAAGAAUGUUCGUCUUUAUUUUCUUAAAACCUUUUGCCUUAUUUUCUUAACACAUAUAUUUUAGUAUCAAUUUAUGAUCGUAAAAUGUAUUGUAAAUGACGGUUGCAUGCUAGUGUUUAUCCAUCUCUUUACUAUUUGAUUGCUAGUUAACUAUAUUAUUACUUUAUAAAAUUGUGUUCCCUUUCAGCAUUGUGGAGUUAUUAUUGAGUUGUUUGUUGGUUAGUUGUUGAGCACAGUUUUGUAUGUAUGUUUCUCUUGUUGUUUUUUUUAUUUGGUUUCCUUGCAGUGCAAAAAGCUUAAGCUAGCAAAGUACAGUAAGUAAGCAGUUUAUUCUUUGUUAUAAAAUGACCUGUAUUGUUGUUUGCAACAUGCUUUCUAUAUUUGACACACCAUCUGUAGGUAAAAGAAACAGAUAGUUGGAAUUGAAAGGACAGAAGCAACAAAAUUGUGGCUUGUACAACCGCAUUUUUGCCUAUUCAUUUGCUAUAUACAUAGUAAGAAUGUUCGUCUUUAUUUUCUUAAAACCUUU